GCCGCUCUGUCUGGUUCCGUGUUGACUCGCGCCGCUGUGCAUGGCCGCCGGGAAACGCCAUUACUAUUGCCAGAAAACACUGCUAGUAAUAAGGUCUUGUUAAUGGAUUCUGUUUCUUUUGAAUUCUGAGAAUACCAUAGUCACGGCUUGUUGCUGCAGCGGUCAUCUAAGUCGCGUGGAAGGAGGAAGAGUCGCUGGGUGUCGCCGCACCUUGCCUCCGCCGCCUCUGCCACCGGAAACAGCCGCUGAGUCCUCGGUAUCGGGUCGUGUAUCCAUGCUUGCAUUUCGUGCUCGGAGUUUGCAGCUUCCUUGUUUUGUCAUUUCAGUAAAGCUACUUAUGCUGUUGCGUAAGUGGCGGGGCUGUGCUUUGAAGCUACUGUUGAUUUUGGGUCGAGACGAAAGAAAUUCUAAGACGUUUGGGUUAUGGUUUUGGCUUUUUGAGGAUAUGGACGCAGAAGUCACGAAGGGUUUAUUUAAUUGUUGUUGAGAUGUUCUGUAUUACUUUAGUUAUUGUUUAUUGUUCCCUCACCUUUAUCUUUAUAUAUUCUGUAGGAGGGAUAGGAUAUUGUAUUAGAUAAUGCUUGUAAUAUUAUUUAGGUAUAUAUAUGUAUAUGUGUAUGUACUCUUUGUGAGUUGUUGUAAGUGUAUUGUAUGUAUGGAUGUACUUUACAUAACAAAGCUAUUUUUGGAGCGGUAUU